GUGCGCUCAAUAAGGCACUGGGUUGGUCAGCUGGGGUUUCUUAGCGCAACUGGCCAUUCCAUUGCCUGGUCGAG
rfam:Ascaris suum AG00247, whole genome shotgun sequence.